UGGUUCUUUCUAGCUCAAUUCUCGUGGUCACAUACGAGUCUCUUCUUGAUGACUCCCCGCCCCUUCACCAUGGGUAAAGUCCCCAGGCCGAGGACAGAAAGUGUUCAGGAUCUAACCGGGUCCAUAUUGCAUAGUCUCGUAACAAAGGACUUGUUGCAAAUUCGCCAAAUCGACUACAGUUAUGUUUGAAAUGAUUGGGAAGGGGGCGACCUCUUCCCGUCAAGCACAAUGGGGCUUACUAAGAGGGAACU
rnacentral:RNase_MRP_RNA from 3 species